rnacentral:rRNA from 1 species
UACAGAGGGGGCAAGCGUUAUUCGGAAUUAUUGGGCGUAAAGGGCGCGUAGGCGGCUUUGCAAGUGACGGGUGAAAUCCCUCGGCUUAACCGAGGAACUGCCUGUCAGACUGCAUGGCUUGAGACCAGGAGAGGUGAGUGGAAUUCCCAGUGUAGCGGUGAAAUGCGUAGAUAUUGGGAGGAACACCAGUGGCGAAGGCGGCUUCCUGGACCAAUACUGACGCUGAGGCGCGAAAGCGUGGGGAUCAAACAGGAUUAGAACCGUACCGU